AAGCCGAGGAUUGUGCGGGAGAUAAGGAAGGAGCUAAGGAGGGAGUGUAAGGGAAGGCACAGUGCGAUGGCGAUCAUCAAACAUUGGUCGGAUCUUAAGAGGAGGCACAUCGCGUGGAUCACAGAGAUCCGGGACAGAAAAUGCCCAGGUGCUCCCGUUCCCCCCGUCCGCCACAGGUCGUCGACGGACGAGAUGAAGGUAGUGGUCAUGUCCGCCGAGAAGGAGGAGGAGGAGGAAGAGCAGGCCGGACCUUCCCAGCCGCAGCAGGAUGCACCACCCUCACCUGAUGUGGGUGAAGAGAUGGAGGUGGAGGAGGCCGGACUCUCCCGGCAGCUGGAUCCCCCCACCCCCAGCUCCAGAUGAGGAAGAAGAGGCUGUCACCAGCCCCCGCCAUGAGGAAGGGUUAAAGAAGAAAAUGCACCCCAGUAUAUGUUCAUCAUUUAGCAAACACCCCAAAAUAAUUAUAAAGCUGCAGCAUGAGGACAAAAAAGCCAUGCAGGAGAUCUGGGAGCAGCAAAAAAAGAUAAGGGAGCAGCAGCGGCAUCUGUAUUGCAAGGUGCAGCAGUUGGAAGAGCUGCACCGUAAUGGGAUGCAGGAGAUGCUGGACCUCCAUAAACAACUCAAACAGUUGCCUUAGAGCCAUAUUUGUUCCUCAAAA